CCCUUAGAUGUCCGGGGCUGCACGCGCGCUACACUGAAGGAAUCAGCGUGCUAAAACCAUUGUCGGAAGGCAUUGGUAAACCCAUUAAAAUCCUACGUGAUUGGGAUCGGGAAUUGCAAUUAUUUCCCUUGAACGAGGAAUUCCCAGUAAGUGUGGGUCAUAAGCUCGCGUUGAUUACGUCCCUGCCCUUUGUACACACCGCCCGUCGCUGCCCGGGACUGAGCCGUUUCGAGAAAAGCGGGGACUGCUGCUGUCGGGGCUUUCGGGCCUUGGCUUCGGUGGAAACCGCUUUAAUCGCAGUGGCUUGAACCGGGCAAAAGUCGUAACA
rnacentral:rRNA from 1 species